UGUCCUACGGGGCGCAGCAGUGGGGAAUAUUGCGCAAUGGGGGAAACCCUGACGCAGCAACGCCGCGUGAGUGAAGACGUAUCUCGGUAUGUAAAGCUCUAUCAGCGGGGAAGAAGGAAGACGGUACCCGACUAAGAAGCCCCGGCUAACUACGGGCCAGCAGCCGCGGUAAUACGUAGGGGGCGAGCGUUAUCCGGAUUUACUGGGUGUAAAGGGAGCGUAGACGGCGUCGCAAGUCUGAAGUGAGAGCCCGUGGCUCAACCGCGGAUCCGCGUUGGAAACUGCGAG
rnacentral:rRNA from 1 species